rnacentral:rRNA from 1 species
CUACGGGUGGCUCCAGUGGGGAAUUUUGGACAAUGGGCGCAAGCCUGAUCCAGCAAUGCCGCGUGCAGGAUGAAGGCCUUCGGGUUGUAAACUGCUUUUGUACGAGACGAAAAGACUCUCACUAAUACUGGGGGUUUAUGACGGUAUCGUAAGAAUAAGCACCGGCUAACUACGUGCCUGCAGCCGCGGUAAUACGUAGGGUGCAAGCGUAAUCGGAAUUACUGGGCGUAAAGCGUGCGCAGGCGGUUAUGUAAGACAGAGGUGAAAUCCCCGGGCUCAACCUGGGAACUGCCUUUGUGACUGCAUAGCGAGAGUACGGCAGAGGGGGAUGGAAUUCCGCGUGUAGCAGUGAAAUGCGUAGAUAUGCGGAGGAACACCGAUGGCGAAGGCAAUCCCCUGGGCCUGUACUGACGCUCAUGCACGAAAGCGUGGGGAGCAAACAGGAUUAGAUACCCGUGUAGUC